AUAUAUUUGACUUUUUCAGCUGACUGCCUAGUGGUCUUCUUCCUUAUUUGGAUCAGGGUAGCCCAAUCAGUGGAACAAGGAAGUCCCAAGAUGACAAAACAGACUUGGUGUUUGGGGAUUGGCUGGCGUCCUUCGCUGAUUUUUGAGAAGAUCUGUAAAUUUCUGUAACUUAGAAGCCAAAUCAGAAAACAUGGAUUUAAAGUCUACCUAAAUGGCCAGCACAAGAGGCAAAAAGGAUGUUCCGCUUCUCUGGAGGGUUCUACUUUGAUCCUAUCAGUAUUUUCUUUUGACCAUUCCUACAACAAAAAUAGAACAAAUCAUUAAAUUGUGAUAUAUCCAUACAG